rnacentral:rRNA from 1 species
UAAUUUGAUAAUCCGCAAAAAACCUUACCACAACUUGAAUAUUUAUAUAUUUAUAUAUAUUUACAAGCGUUGCACGGCUGUCUUCAGUUAAUGUCGUGAGACUUUGGUUAGAUCCAUUAAAUUAACGUAAGCCCUUACUUUAUUUAUAAAUAAAGUAGUUCCCCACUAUAUUGGAUAUGAUAACAGGGACUAAGACAAGUCAUCAUGGCCUAAAUAUUGU